rnacentral:rRNA from 1 species
GACGAACGCUGGCGGCGCGCCUAACACAUGCAAGUCGAACGGAGUCAAGAGGAGCUUGCUUUUCUUGACUUAGUGGCGAACGGGUGAGUAACGCGUGAGUAACCUGCCCUGGAGUGGGGGACAACAGUUGGAAACGACUGCUAAUACCGCAUAAGCCCACGGAUCCGCAUGGAUCUGCGGGAAAAGGAUUUAUUCGCUUCAGGAUGGACUCGCGUCCAAUUAGCUAGUUGGUGAGGUAACGGCCCACCAAGGCGACGAUUGGUAGCCGGACUGAGAGGUUGAACGGCCACAUGGGGACUGAGACACGGCCCAGACUCCUACGGGAGGCAGCAGUGGGGGAUAUUGCACAAUGGGGGAAACCCUGAUGCAGCGACGCCGCGUGGAGGAAGAAGGUUUUCGGAUUGUAAACUCCUGUCGUUAGGGACGAUAAUGACGGUACCUAACAAGAAAGCACCGGCUAACUACGUG